rnacentral:rRNA from 1 species
CCUACGGGAGGCAGCAGUAGGGAAUAUUGCACAAUGGGGGAAACCCUGAAGCAGCAACGCCGCGUGGAGGAUGAAGGUUUUCGGAUCGUAAACUCCUUUUGUUAGAGAAGAUAAUGACGGUAUCUAACGAAUAAGCACCGGCUAACUCCGUGCCAGCAGCCGCGGUAAUACGGAGGGUGCAAGCGUUACUCGGAUUCACUGGGCGUAAAGAGCGCGUAGGCGGGAUAGCAAGUCAGAUGUGAAAUCCUAUGGCUUAACCAUAGAACUGCAUUUGAAACUGUUAUUCUAGAGUAUGGGAGGGGUAGGUGGAAUUCUUGGUGUAGGGGUAAAAUCCGUAGAGAUCAAGAGGAAUACUCAUUGCGAAGGCGACCUGCUAGAACAUAACUGACGCUGAUGCGCGAAAGCGUGGGGAGCAAACAGGAUUAGAUACCCGGGUAGUC